CUCCCAGAAGAGUCGUCACCGGUAAUCUCACUGCCAUCAUUAUUGAGGCGAUGUUUGUUGACUUUGGCCUAGCAAAGCAGAGAAGUGGACAUUGCUACCUGAGGCUCUGUACUCUUGAAUUUGAGACACGGCACGCUUCAUACUACUGGUUAUUAAAUGCACUGGGCAUUUACCAACCCUAUGUAUGGGAGUACUCAAGGCUGAAUGUUACGUACACAAUAGUCGUGCUACGUCCUCUCGCGCUGCGGACCUUAUCUCUCCUUCGCUCUCCCUUUUUUAUUUACUAAUCUAUAAAUGAAUCAUUUUGCUCCGUAAUAUCACUUGUUCGUCAUGUGUUGUUAGUCAGGUAGUCAUUACCAAUCUAGAAUCUGGCAAUAUUAGGGAUCUUGAUGCAAAGAAAUGGCUUGAUGCAGGAUGCAACUUACAAGGUACCCUUUUCUAAUAUCAUAUACAUUGAUCACUCUGAUUUCCGGAUGAAAGAUUCAAAAGAUUUUUAUGGGCAUGCUCCUGGUAAAUCUGUCCCUCUCAGGUAUGCAUUUCCAAUAAAGUGUACUAAUGUACUCCUUGCUGAGAAUAAAAACUCUUCUUGAGAUCCAUGCAGAGUAUGAUCCUUUUGCAUCUUUUAAAGGAAGGAAAGUGGCUUGAUAUUGGUUCAAAUCCAAUUCGUG